rnacentral:rRNA from 1 species
GUCCACGCCGUAAACGAUGACUGCUAGGUGUCGGGUGGCAAAGCCAUUCGGUGCCGCAGCUAACGCAAUAAGCAGUCCACCUGGGGAGUACGUUCGCAAGAAUGAAACUCAAAGGAAUUGACGGGGACCCCGCACAAGCGGUGGAGCAUGUGGUUUAAUUCGAAGCAACGCGAAGAACCUUACCUGAUCUUGACAUCCCGAUGACCGCUUCGUAAUGGAAGCUUUUCUUCGGAACAUCGGUGACAGGUGGUGCAUGGUUGUCGU